GACGAACGCUGGCGGCGUGCUUAACACAUGCAAGUCGAACGGUGAAGCGCCUUCCUUUUUGGUGGGUGUGGAUGAGUGGCGAACGGGUGAGUAACACGUGAGUAACCUGCCCCCUUCUUCUGGAUAACCGCAUGAAAGUGUGGCUAAUACGGGAUAUUCUGGGUCUGUCGCAUGAUGGGUCUGGGAAAGAUAUUGUUUCGGUGGGGGAUGGGCUCGCGGCCUAUCAGCUUGUUGGUGGGGUGAUGGCCUACCAAGGCGGUGGCGGGUAGCCGGCCUGCGAGGGUGGACGGUCACACGGGGGCUGGGACACGGUCCAGACUCCUACGGGAGGCAGCAGUGGGGAAUAUUGCACAAUGGGCGCAAGGCUGAUGCAGCGACGCCGCGUGAGGGAUGGAGGCCGUCGGGUUGUGAACCUCUUUCGCCAGUGAAGCAUGCCUGCCUCGUUUGUGGGUGGGUUGACGGUAGCUGGAUAAGAAGCGCCGGCUAACUACGUG
rnacentral:rRNA from 1 species